UACGUAGGGGGCAAGCGUUGUCCGGAAUCAUUGGGCGUAAAGCGCGCGUAGGCGGCCCGGUAAGUCCGCUGUAAAAGUCCAGGGCUCAACCCUGGAAAGCCGGUGGAUACUGUCGGGCUAGAGUCCGGAAGAGGCGAGUGGAAUUCCUGGUGUAGCGGUGGAAUGCGCAGAUAUCAGGAGGAACACCGAUGGCGAAGGCAGCUCGCUGGGACGGUGACUGACGCUGAUGACGCGAAAGCCAGGGGAGCAAACGGG
rnacentral:rRNA from 1 species